GUGCUUGUUUGGGCAGCCACAUAUACUAUUUUUGGAAUGAUACAGAGAUUAGCAUGGCUGCUGCACAAGGAUAAUGUGCAAAUUUGUGAAGCAUUAAUCGGAAAG